GUAGUUGUGGUUCAGUGGUAGAAUUCUUGCCUUCUAAAAAAAAUUUUUUUUUUUUUUUUUAUGCAGGAGACCUGGGUUCGAUUCCCAGCCAAUGCA
rnacentral:tRNA from 1 species